UUUUUUUUUCCCCAAAUUCGCCGAUUCCCACCCCCUCUUCCCCGAUCUCCUCUUCCUCGACCUCGCGCCCGAAAUCCCCUUUCUUCUCCGGCGAUUUCUCCGCCCGAUCAUCGACGUCGAGCCUCCUUGCUCCCUCUCCCUCUCAAGGUGUGGAGCCUCUUCCCUCUUGCUCCGACUCCUUCCCCCUUUUCGGCCGAUCGAAGCCGACCACUCCCAGAUCCUCGGCGUGGACGACUCGAGCUCUGAUCCGGUUGUCGCCCUUCCAACCCUAGCCGCGGACAUCAGGGACUCGUCGGAAACCUAGCACAUGAGCUGGUGGCAACAGGUUGAAGCAGCACGGCCUCAUCGUCGCCUCCUUCCCGAUCACCCCUUCUCAUCACCGAAUCUUGGAUCAUGGAGAUUCAUUGCCCUAACUCCCGAUUAUGCUGCUUCGUCGAUCAGUUGCUACCAGCAUCCAAACGCACCUGAUUUGGGCAUUCAAGCACUGUUAGCCGAAGACACACAACUCCGGUCAUACUCUUCUAACAGUGAAUUACUCUGGUUGUGGUCUACUAGUGAUCACCUUGAGCUCAGUGGCUUCGCUUGGUUCCAGCAGUAAGUUCUCCGGCUGAAUUGACAAUGAAGUCUUUGGAUUUGGGACUUGGGUUCGGGACGAGCGUCUCGACGCGGGAUUACUUGGCACGAUCUACAUUUUAAG